GGCUCCAUAACCAGCCAAGCGAAGUGAGCGAGGCAGGCCGACCUGAGUCGCAAACUUAGGCAGGCCAACUCGAGACGCAAGGUGUACCGAAGUGAGACGCCUAUCCGGGGGAGGACUUCGCUGGGACGGAAUAGAAAACGGAAUUAUUAUUUUGACUUAUUUUGUAUAUAAUUUAGAAUUGAUAGAUUUGCUUUAUUUUCAA